AAUUUUUAUUAGAAACAAGGAUAAUUUUAAAUAGAUGGACAGAAACAUUUCGUUUGCUGAGAGAAAUGAUUAUUUAAAAGAGCUACCUUGUGAUAUGAAUGUAGAGAAUGACGUCCACUCAACGUUAUCGAGCUUAAGAGGUAAACGACUAAAACAUCGUUGCAAGUAAGGUGGUACCGCGCUAUAAGCGUCCUUACU
rnacentral:ncRNA from 1 species